AGCGUAGCAAAGUACGGGGCGGUCACUGAUGACGCGAGACGCUGCUGCCGAGUCACCGCUGCGAAGAGUCUGAGAGAGAAAGAGCCGGCUGACCCUGGAAGCCUACGAACUUUGGUUCCGCUUGCGGGGGAGGAGGAAGCUGAGCUACCAGGAAGCCGCGGGGCCACCUGAAGAGAGCCGAGCUAUCAAGGAGGUGCCCUGCUUAUAUCAUAAAGACAGCCCGAUCCUGGGGAGAAAGAAUCUCAAUCUUUGAAAAUAAGAGGAAGAAAAUAAACCUAAGAAAAAAUACUUUAAACUGAAAGUUCUGAUUUUGGAAGUAUUUGAAUUAUGUCAAAGGUGAUAUUCAACACACUCAGCAACCAGUACAGCAAGGCACCAUCCAGUCAGAAUGGACACCCUGAAACAACUCUGAAACACCACCAGCCUGAAACAACACUGCGGCUAGAUCUCUGUGUCUCAGCUGAAUGUCAGUCCUGAAUUAUACUGUGUGGCCAUGAUGAGUUUUUGGCAAUUGACAGCCAGUUGCAAGUUGACCUGAAGGCGAUCAGCUUUGAAGGCAGAGAUGAACAUGAUUUCACCAGGAGGCACUGCAGGCAGCUUGCAAAUCACCUUGCUGAGCCAGUUUUGCAGAGAAAGAGUUAUCAAUGUCAUGGGGGCAUUAGUUUUUCGACAUUUACUUUAUGCAUUCAAUAGGCCCCUGUAAGGAAUUUCUGGCUGUUUGGCAGUGGCCUAAAUGUACUUGCUUCUCUGUGGCCCAAUUCCCCAGAUACGAUUCUUGCAAUUCAAGUAAGGGUUAGUUAGGUUUCCUUCAGUUUAUUCCAAUCUA